GGGAAGAAGCCUUAGACAACACAAAAAAGGCCAGUGUUGCUGAAAAAUACAGUGGGAGGAAGAAGGGACUAAAAUUACACUGAAGAGGCAAGGGAUCCAGUACCCACACCUUCAGACAUUGGCUGCAUCUCUCAGACUGGAUUGGCUGCAUCUCUCAGACUGGAUCUCUCAGACGUCCUGUUGUGCUGUUAGAAACAGAAAUGUUUCUCUCAGAUCCCUCUUCAAGGAAUGACUUGCUACCAAGCUUUGGGGAAUGGAUUAGCAGACAUCAUCCAGCUGCCAGCUCCUUCAGGCUGGGCCUUAAAUGCAAGGAGCUGCUUCACCUGAAACCAC
rnacentral:lncRNA from 1 species